GGGCCGCUGGUCUAGUGGUAUGAUUCUCGCUUAGGGACAGUUCGUUAGGACCGUUAAACAACCUGAGCAAUUUCCUGCGAGAGGUCCCGGGUUCAAUCCCCGGGUGGCCCC